rnacentral:rRNA from 1 species
UACGGAGGGAGCUAGCGUUGUUCGGAAUUACUGGGCGUAAAGCGCACGUAGGCGGCUUUGUAAGUUAGAGGUGAAAGCCUGGAGCUCAACUCCAGAACUGCCUUUGAUACUGCAUGGCUUGAUCCAGGAGAGUGAGUGGAAUUCCGAGUGUAGAGGUGAAAUUCGUAGAUAUUCGGAAGAACACCAGUGGCGAAGGCGGCUCACUGGCUGGUAUGACGCUGAGGUGCGAAAGCGUGGGGAGCAAACAGGAUUAGAUACCCCGGUAGUCC